CCUACGGGAGGCUGCAGUGGGGAAUUUUGGACAAUGGGGGCAACCCUGAUCCAGCCAUUCCGCGUGAGUGAAGAAGGCCUUCGGGUUGUAAAGCUCUUUUGUCCGGAGCGAAACGGGCGGCCCUAAUACGGUCGUCUACUGACGGUACCGGAAGAAUAAGCACCGGCUAACUACGUGCCAGCAGCCGCGGUAAUACGUAGGGUGCGUGCGUUAAGCGGAAUUACUGGGCGUAGUGCUGGCAGCGGCAGUUGAAAUCCCCGGGCUCAACCUGGGAAUGGCAUUUGGGACUGCAAGGCUGGAGUGUGGCAGAGGGGACUAGAAUUCCUGGUGUAGCAGGGAAAUGCGUAGAUAUCAGGAGGAAUACCGAUGGCGAAGGCAGGUCCCUGGGUAAACACUGACGCUCAUGCACGAAAGCGUGGGGAGCAAACAGGAUUAGAUACCCCGGUAGUC
rnacentral:rRNA from 1 species